rfam:Nitratireductor aquibiodomus RA22 Contig11, whole genome shotgun sequence.
CCUUUAUCCCGUGGUGAUUUGGCCGGUCGGCUUGCAGCCACGUUAAAGAAGUCGCUAAAAGGCCGCGCUCGAUCACCG